UACAGAGGGGGCAAGCGUUAUUCGGAAUUAUUGGGCGUAAAGGGCGCGUAGGCGGCCUGGCAAGUGGAAGGUGAAAUCCCUCGGCUUAACCGAGGAACUGCCUUCCAAACUGCUUGGCUUGAGUCCGGGAGAGGUGAGUGGAAUUCCCAGUGUAGCGGUGAAAUGCGUAGAUAUUGGGAGGAACACCAGUGGCGAAGGCGGCUCACUGGACCGGAACUGACGCUGAUGCGCGAAAGCGUGGGGAGCAAACAGG
rnacentral:rRNA from 1 species